GAUGAACGCUGGCGGCGUGCCUAAUACAUGCAAGUCGAGCGAACAGACGAGGAGCUUGCUCCUCUGACGUUAGCGGCGGACGGGUGAGUAACACGUGGAUAACCUACCUAUAAGACUGGGAUAGCUUCGGGAAACCGGAGCUAAUACCGGAUAAUAUAUUGAACCGCAUGGUUCAAUAGUGAAAGACGGUUUUGCUGUCACUUAUAGAUGGAUCCGCGCCGCAUUAGCUAGUUGGUAAGGUAACGGCUUACCAAGGCGACGAUGCGUAGCCGACCUGGGAGGGUGAUCGGCCACACUGGAACUGAGACACGGUCCAGACUCCUACGGGAGGCAGCAGUAGGGAAUCUUCCGCAAUGGGCGAAAGCCUGACGGAGCAACGCCGCGUGAGUGAUGAAGGUCUUCGGAUCGUAAAACUCUGUUAUUAGGGAAGAACAAAUGUGUAAGUAACUAUGCACGUCUUGACGGUACCUAAUCAGAAAGCCACGGCUAACUACGUG
rnacentral:rRNA from 1 species